rnacentral:rRNA from 1 species
UACAGAGGUCUCGAGCGUUGUUCGGAUUCAUUGGGCGUAAAGGGUGCGUAGGUGGCGCUGUAAGUCAGGUGUGAAAUUUCGGAGCUUAACUCCGAAACUGCAUUUGAUACUGCGGUGCUUGAGGACUGGAGAGGAGACUGGAAUUUACGGUGUAGCAGUGAAAAUGCGUAGAGAUCGUAAGGAAGACCAGUGGCGAAGGCGGGGUCUCUGGACAAGUUCCUGACACUGAGGCACGAAGGCCCAGGGGGAG